rnacentral:rRNA from 1 species
CAGUCGCCACGGUAAUACGGAGGGUGCAAGCGUUAUCCGGAUUCACUGGGUUUAAAGGGUGCGUAGGCGGACCUGUAAGUCAGUGGUGAAAUCUCCAGGCUUAACCUGGAAACUGCCGUUGAUACUAUAGGUCUUGAAUUUUGUGGAGGUUAGCGGAAUAUGUCAUGUAGCGGUGAAUUGCAUAGAUAUGACAUAGAACACCAAUUGCGAAGGCAGCUGGCUACACAACUAUUGACGCUGAGGCACGAAAGCGUGGGGAUCAAACAGGAUUAGAUACCCCAGUAGUCCCUGUCUCUUAUAA